rnacentral:tRNA from 1 species
CGGGCAGUCGCUCAGUGGUAGAGCUCCCACUUCAUAUGCGGGAAGAGCUGAGUUCGGUUCCCGGCUGCUUAC